rnacentral:rRNA from 1 species
AGUGGGGAAUAUUGGACAAUGGGCGAAAGCCUGAUCCAGCGACGCCGCGUGUGUGAAGAAGGCCUGCGGGUUGUAAAGCACUUUUAGUGGGGAUGAAAAGCCAAGGGCUAAUACCCUUUGGUCUUGACCUAACCCAAAGAAAAAGCACCGGCUAACUCUGUGCCAGCAGCCGCGGUAAUACAGAGGGUGCAAGCGUUAAUCGGAAUUACUGGGCGUAAAGCGUGCGUAGUCGGUUAUCUAAGUCGGAUGUGAAAUCCCCGGGCUCAACCUGGGAAUUGCAUUCGAAACUGAAUAGCUAGAGUUCGGCAGAGGGAAGUGGAAUUUCCGGUGUAGCGGUGAAAUGCGUAGAUAUCGGAAGGAACAUCAGUGGCGAAAGCGACUUCCUGGACCAGAACUGACGAUCAGGCACGAAAGCGUGGGGAGCAAA